rnacentral:tRNA from 1 species
GCAUUGGUGAUUCAGUGGUAGAAUUCUUGCCCUCCAAGUGGGAAAACUGGGUUUGAUUCCUGGACAACGCA